UACGUAGGGGGCUAGCGUUGUCCGGAAUCAUUGGGCGUAAAGAGCGUGUAGGCGGCCCGGUAAGUCCGCUGUGAAAGUCGGGGGCUCAACCCUCGAAUGCCGGUGGAUACUGUCGGGCUAGAGUGCGGAAGAGGCGAGUGGAAUUCCUGGUGUAGCGGUGAAAUGCGUAGAUAUCAAGAGGAACACCUGAGGUGAAGACGGGUUGCUGGGCUGACACUGACGCUGAGGCGCGAAAGCCAGGGGAGCAAACGGG
rnacentral:rRNA from 1 species